GCGUUGAUGGUCUAGUGGUUAUGAUUCUCGCCUUCCAAUCUGCGAUAACAACUCGCAUUGUUAAGCGUGAGAGCGGGGUUCGAUUCCCCGUCAACGCA